rnacentral:rRNA from 1 species
GAUGAACGCUGGCGGCGUGCCUAAUACAUGCAAGUCGAGCGAACGGACGAGAAGCUUGCUUUUCUGAUGUUAGCGGCGGACGGGUGAGUAACACGUGGAUAACCUACCUAUAAGACUGGGAUAACUUCGGGAAACCGGAGCUAAUACCGGAUAAUAUUUUGAACCGCAUGGUUCAUAAGUGAAAGACGGUCUUGCUGUCACUUAUAGAUGGAUCCGCGCUGCAUUAGCUAGUUGGUAAGGUAACGGCUUACCAAGGCAACGAUGCAUAGCCGACCUGAGAGGGUGAUCGGCCACACUGGAACUGAGACACGGUCCAGACUCCUACGGGAGGCAGCAGUAGGGAAUCUUCCGCAAUGGGCGAAAGCCUGACGGAGCAACGCCGCGUGAGUGAUGAAGGUCUUCGGAUCGUAAAACUCUGUUAUUAGGGAAGAACAUAUGAGUAAGUAACUGUGCACAUCUUGACGGUACCUAAUCAGAAAGCCACGGCUAACUACGUG